GCCAGUGUGGUGUAGCGGUUUGAUUGUUAGACUACAACUCUGGAGAUCAGGGUUCAAAUCCCCACUCA